rnacentral:rRNA from 1 species
UACAGAGGUCCCGAGCGUUGUUCGGAUUCAUUGGGCGUAAAGGGUGCGUAGGUGGCGCUGUAAGUGGGGUGUGAAAUCCCGGGGCUUAACCCCGGGACUGCAUUCCAUACUGCGGUGCUUGAGGACUGGAGAGGAGACUGGAAUUUACGGUGUAGCAGUGAAAUGCGUAGAUAUCGGGAGGAACACCAGUGGCGAAGGCGACUACCUGGCCUGUUCUUGACGCUGAGGCGCGAAAGCUAGGGGAGCAAACGGG